UCCCUCCCCGCACUUCCCUUCCUGACAAGCCGUCGCUGCCGCCAAUCCACCACCGCCCACCGCCCACCGCCCUCUAGAGGGAAAAGCCUCGGCUCACACAGCCGUCCACCGACCCAGCAUUCCACACUGAAAGCCCAGGUAAAUUGCCUUCGUCUCCCCGCUCUGCAGCGAUGGAGGAAGAAGGAGGUGCAGAGCACCGCGAAUUCCAUCGCCACGGCCUCGUGCAGCCGCCUCGCCCUUCUCCGGCAUCUCGCGAUCCAUGGCAGACAGAUUAGUCAACAAAGAAAAAUUAAGUGGUGGAGAUCUUCCUAAAAUGAAAUCAAGACGAUGAGGUAAGAAUGGAGAUUUAAUGUGGUUUGUUGGAGAUGCCAAAGGUAGGAGAUGAAGGACAGUUGGAAGGGGAUAAUGGAGGACAAUUAUAGCUUCACUAGAGCCUGGGGCGGAGAGGUAGGGGCUGUCUGUACAGGUUUGCAGUGCAGCUGGGCCAAACAUCGCUUACAGUUUAAGCUGUAGCCUGUUAUGAAGUAAAAGCUGCGGAGGUACAGUUUCGGCCACUGUGUGCGGGAAGAUGAGAAGUCAAGCAGUAGCAAUUGGCGCAUGUAGGUUCCACGGGGCACUCAGCGAGAUUCAAUCUUCACGUGACAUUUAGGCCGACCUUUUAUUAUGGAUCGCUGGGGGGAAGAAUCGUAAAAGUUUCAGGUGUCAACAAAUUGUGUCGCUGCGGAAAAGAGGGAUCGGACCAAAGCAGUGGCCUUGGUAGGGUAAGAUGUGAUAUUCACAUUGGUAUUAUCCUCGACGACACAAAGGUUCAUGCCCAAGCACCCAUAUUUUAAUGGUUUAUAGUCAGGAUAUUUUCUUGAGUUGGGAUUUGCAUCUCCCAGGGGUAUGAUUGUAAGUUUUAAAUUACCAAGAGACAUUGCUGUACUGCGCCCACUCUACCCGCCAUCGCGCACUGCCCAGGACGAGGCUCCAAGCCCCCCGGGAGGCCGGACAGCAAGGCCCCACACACCUGUGACCGACCACUCACACCUAGCCACGUAAAGGGUUGGGGCUCGUGGGCCCACCGUCAGCACGGCCAAUCAAGGUUCGACAACGCCGUUCCUAAUCUCUCCGACACGGCCCGCUGUUUACGAUUACCACUGCCGAGGGUCACCUCGAGAACGAGACGCAGAGAAAAUAGGAGAAAAAGGCGAUUAUGCCUUUUCGUUUCUAUAUAUUUCUAGGUGAUUUUUCUUGCCCUCACACUAGUGCCUUUUCUUUUUACUUUUCCCGGCCGGAUUCUUUACUGGAAAGAGGGAAGACGAGGGCGUACGCAUGCCACCUUUCGCGGCCGUGGGGGGUUGAAAAUGGCUGCUCCUAUUGGAUGAUGGGAAAAGGCACCACAAGAUAACGUCUUGGGGCCUACCGCCGGCGACCACAUCGCAUCGGGGCAUGCCUUCGGUACCACACGCACUGAUGGCUGCUAGUAGUCACUAAGCAGUGCAUUAAGGAUGUAACAUCAGCUCAUUAAUUAAGGUAAUAUCGUAGAGUUUUUGAAAGAGCAAUUUUCUAAGCCUUCUUUAACCAUGUCCUUUAAUAGUAUAAAUCGUAAUCAAACUGGUCAGUAGUGACUAAGACUAAACAUGGGAUGGACUAAGAGCAGUGGUAGAUCUUGAAAGUGCUCUUUUGACUUGCUACACUCAACUACCUUUUAUUUUUGUCCAAUUGGAUUUCUGAUCUUUAGGUGUCCUUGAAGAUUCACAUGGCCCCGUGCCAUCUCCAGCGAGACAAUUUAUUUAGGGCCGGUGGCAGUUUGAGUGGACGAUCCAGAAGGCCAAAGAGCCUUGAUGUUGGCACUUGAAAUUUUUCUGAUACACCAAAUUAGAUCAAUGUGGUCAUGUUUGUAUUGGUUUUCGCCUGGUUUUUGUUGAGUUAACUGACAAUUUUCUUCUUAAUUAAUGCAUGAGGUCCAUUUCAAAGAAUAAUAAUUAGGUCAACAUCCCUGAAAAUUUGACUUAAAUCCAAUAUAUUCUUUACUUAAUUGUUUGUGUACAAAUCCUGCUUAUAAAGAAAAGAGAAUGCACAUGUUAACUCGGGAGGUGGCCGUGUUUUUCUUUUUUAUCUGUUUUUCAUGAGUUUCCUUUUUUAUAUCUUUGCCAAUGAUGGCCACUGAAGUUUGUGUCUGUAGUCGCCGGGAUUUAUAGAAGAGGGAGUAUUUGUCAAUUUGAAGAGGGAUGGGGUGAGAAGUGACCUUCUUGCUUCCUUUAAAUCUCGUUGUGAGGGUACACAGUGAAGGCUAUACCUUUCUUCAUAUUUAUGCUCUCGUUUUUUAUUCAAGUUCUUAGAUUUUUAUGAAUGGUUUCUUGUACAUGAUGUGGAGCCAUGCAUUAAUAUGUACUCCCUAUGUAAACUAAUAUAAAAGCGUUUAGAUGACUAAAAUAGUCAUCUAAACGCUCUUAUAUUUCUUUACGGAGGGAGUAUUAGAGAGGGAUUGUGACGAGUAAUGGCAUAAGCGUAUAGUUAAUUAAGUCAACAUCAGCCCAUGAACUAUGUGACAAGGGUAUAUGUUGAAUAUUGAAUAUCCAAGCACUCAAGACAUGCAAAGAGAAUAUGCGGCGUAUUUCUUUGAUCUUUGAGCACAACUUUGCAUCACCUUUCAGCUGUCUAUGUGGUUUGCUAGCAUUAUUGGUAUUCUUGCUCAAUCCAUUAUGAAUUAUCUCCGCCUCUGUUAUGUAUUAUUGCCAUUGUGUUGAUAGCUGAUUAGUCUGCUUGAUAUCUCCUUACACAUUUGAUGUAGGACGGUCGAUGCCGGCAGUUUCUUCUAUGUAAUAUAUAUACAAAACAGGUAGGGGGCUGCAAAAGCCAUAGACAACGGAGGGACUAUCAUGGAUGGUUUCAUGGAUGCUGGACAGUUGCAGAUAACUCACCUAUCCUUUUAUUCUAUGGUAUACACGAUAGCCAGCGAGGAUAUCAUGAGAUCAAACCAGAUACUCUUGGCCGUGUGAAUUGGCUGGCGGAGAGUAGCUUGAUCUAUCCAGAUUUAAUUCCCAAGAGACAAAAAAGAAAAGAAAAAAGAAACAAUGGUCAUUAAAAAAAGAAAAGUAAAAUGGACUGAAGACAUAAAAUUAUAAAGCCUCGUUUGAGAUACUACCUAUAGUUCUGACGUACUACGAACAGUGCUAGGUUUAAUUCGUUUUCGGUGGGAUAUUUGUACUAUGUACGACUGCCAAAAGAAUAUAGUAAUAUUAUGGACAGUUAAGUAAAGAUGCAUACUGUAGUGUCAACUGUUGCUGAUUGGAACUACUACUUGGCAGCCGCAGCAUGGGUACUACUCCUCCCGGUACUACUUAAAACCAUGGGAGGGCUCAGCACUGGAGUACGGCGGUCGCUCACCGGAUCCAAGAAGAAAAAACCUCUCCCAUUUCCUGUUGUGUUUCGAGGUUUUAUUUGGGUUUCCUUUCGGAUCUUUGGGUUGUUUAAUUGCUGCUUUUGUGUCGGAAGUUGUUCUUCGGUUGUGCAAUCUGUGAAGUAAUGUUAGCUCCUGGUGUGGAGAGGCCCUCGAGAGAUUGACAGAAGAGAGUGAGCACACGGCGUGAUGCCGGCAUAACAUGUAUGCCGUCUUCGCCGCGUGCUCACUCCUCUUUCUGUCAGCCUCUUUCUCUCAGGAGUUUACGUUACAUUCAGAUCCACUGGUGGGUAUGUAGAAUUAAUUCGAUUCAAUUUCAAUUUAAUAGUUCAUAAUUUCCACACAAAAAAGAAGGUCAAACCCUGCUUAUGAGAGGAACUCAGCCACAAAAGAAAGACAGAACAUCGCAUGCGGCAUGUACUCUGGCUUUUCUCCGACUUUACCAUGCCACUUCCUUAUCUCUUUAGAUGUGUGCGCACGGAAAAAAAAUUGCUCUGUUGUUUUGAUCUUUUCAGUCAAGUUGCUCCUGGGAACUACUACCGAGGAGAGUGAUACGGAUGCUAGUGGUAAUUUUGUACUCGCCUUGGGAGCUGAAUCAUGAAGAUGCUGCCGGUACACUGCAACAUGCACCCUCUCUCUUUCUCACCCUAACUACCCCCUUCUUCUUUCCUGUUGCCUUGUUUUCAAUGGAAGCAGAUUUUAGCCAUGGUGGUGGGGCUUCAUCAAGUUCUUGUUGGGGUAAAAAUGGAGCAUGGAGUAAGCUAAGAGAUGAGCCAUAUUUGGCAAGGAAGGUGGCCUCACUUUGCUUUUGCCAGAUCUAGUUUGCAUCUUAGGAUAAGAGCAUCAUGUUAAUAGCGAACGUAACAGCUGCACCAUCAAUUUGGACAAGGUUGGUGAUGCCUGUGGUUGAGAAGGUUGAUGUGGCCACUGUCUGGACGCCUUCUACUAGGAGUUGCUUGGCUGAUGACACUACAACAUGUUCUACAAUUUUUUUUGACAAAUGAGCAACUAAUCACCCUGGAUCCGGCAAGACUGUUGAUGGUGGCUAAAUUUCAUGUUUUGAUCAUUUUUCAAAACUUGAUCGAGAUCUGACCCUGCCUUGCAAAAAAUUUGGGAUCUGACCAUUUUCUUACCGCCAGAGUCCAUGGCGUUAGGGGAUAACAGCCUACCGCCAAGGUCCCUGGCGGUAGGGUUGCAUACCUUACCAGAAAAAUUUCAUAAGUAUGGAACACAGUGUGUGCUCGCACCUACCGUCGGGCACCUUUGCAGUAGGGUUGUACAGGCUACCGCCAGCCUGUUUGGCGGUAGGCGGUAGGCUGUUACACCCUACCCAUGACGGUAGCAAAAGGGUCAGAUCCCGAAAUUUUUACAAAUUGGAGUUAUUAACUUUUGGAAAAGGGUCAAAACAUGAAAUUUUGCCGUUGAUGGCCUCAUGAAGGAGAAAUCAGAGAACAUUGGGUAGAUGGUGUCGGUGGGUGACGAGGUUGAUAAAGAAGUGCGCCAGACACCUAAUUCUGAGGCUCUCUUUGCAAAAGAGCUCUGUGACUUGCUUGCUAGUUUGGAAGUGGCUAGCCCUGGAUUUGGCAAGGCGAUUGCUUGCAUCUUGAUGGAGAAGGUUUCCACGAGCAAAAUUGAGAAGGUGAAAAAGGCUCUUAGGAGUAAAGGCAAGAAGUGUGGCGUCAUUGAAAAGGCGCCUGCCGCUGCUUAAACGAAUGGUCUCGAGUGUCUUGGACCAUCCCCAUGGUUAGGCUUGUUUUCGUGGAUUUGGUUGUGUCCGCUAUUUUCAGUAGAGAUGUUCUUAUUGGUGGUUCCAUUGCGUCGUAGAAGUGUGAGGGCUUGUUAUUGUUGUUAGAUAUGUUUAUUGGAUCAGUCGUGCGGUCAUGGUGUUUCAUACUUUAUGAGUAGUUCACGUGUGGUGUGCUUGUAACGGUUUUCGCACGGUUUUCGAUAAUUAACUGGGCAAUUUUCUAGGAUGAAACUUCUGCCUCUGUUUCAAAAAAAGGUAUAAUUUUGGUCAAACUUCAAAAGAUUUUGCGUAUUUUGCAAUAUUUUUUUAUAGUUGAAAUUGUUAGCAUAAUUAUAACUCAUAAUAACAAAACUCGUCCAACGAAAGUGCUAGUCUACUUCCACAUGCAAAAUAUAGUACAUAGCUUAAUUAACGAUAUAAUAACAAAUUGCAUGGCAUCAAUUUUUCAUUCUUCAUCCAUUUGGAAGUUUUUUUUUAGAAGGAGGAUCACCCCCAGCCUCUGCAUCUGACAGAUGCAUGCGGCAUCCAUUUGGAAGGUAUGCAUACACAAGAUACGAAUGGGAGUCAGAGAAAGCGCAUACACAAGAUCAUCACGAACAACAAGCAGAAGCUAUGGCCAAAACAGUAUAACCUCUACGAACGAGGCUUGAAAGAGGGCACGCAUUGUAUGCACUGUUGCCUAAGUUGAUCGGUUUGUUGUACCCGCUGAGUCAGACAAGAUGAACAACUAGAUUCUGGGGGAAGGACAUCGACCAGGGAAAAUAUUUGGCAUGUACGUAUCACUGAAGUUGCUCUGUAGCAGUGUGCUGUUCCAGGCAACAGUGCAGGCCAACACGUACGGCGCUCCUACACAAAGUUGGCAGCUACAUACAAGAACUGGCCAGCAACAUACUUAUCACUUAAUCGAAUGAAUUACAAUUCCCUUGACGGCGAACUGCAUUGUUACUUUGUGCAGAAGCCCAUCAAAGUUUCGACAUAAACAUGGGCGCCGUUGAAUUCUGAGGCAGCGAGCUCCCUCUACUAGCAGGCACCUGCAACGAAAAAUUGAUGACACGGUGAGGACCUCUAUAUGUGCUAUAUACAUCUUCAGAAAGGGCGCAUCAGGAAAGCGUGUUUGAUCAAAUUAGUAGCAGGUUAAAUGCAUCUUGCGGAUUAUGAUGGCCUUUUCUCAUUCUGCUAAUGAUACGAGUGUCAAUGCUAUCAUGCAUGUGCUUGUUCUAUUUUGAUCAUUCCUCCUUUCUGAAGAAACCUUUUUUUUUCUCGAACUCCUCUAGAACUUGAGAUGUUCGAAGUACGUACGAUCGCCCUGUAUGUUGAGAUGGUUUUGUA